rnacentral:rRNA from 1 species
GACGAACGCUGGCGGCGUGCUUAACACAUGCAAGUCGAACGGUGAAAGCGGAGCUUGCUCCGCUGGAUCAGUGGCGAACGGGUGAGUAACACGUGGGCAACCUGCCCCUCACUUCGGGAUAACUCCGGGAAACCGGGGCUAAUACCGGAUAUGACCUCCUUGGGCAUCCUUGGAGGUGGAAAGUUUUUCGGUGAGGGAUGGGCCCGCGGCCUAUCAGCUUGUUGGUGAGGUAGAGGCUCACCAAGGCGACGACGGGUAGCCGGCCUGAGAGGGCGAUCGGCCACACUGGGACUGAGACACGGCCCAGACUCCUACGAGAGGCAGCAGUGGGGAAUAUUGCGCAAUGGUCGAAAGCCUGACGCAGCAACGCCGCGUGCGGGAUGACGGCCUUCGGGUUGUAAACCGCUUUCAGCAGGGAAGAAGCCGCAAGGUGCCGGUACCUGCAGAAGAAGCACCGGCUAACUACGUGCCAGCCGCCGCGGUAA